CGUGUCUGUGCAGAAAGAAGUAGACAUGGGAGACUUUUCACUUUGUUCUGUGGUAGGAAAGGUUCUUCUGCCUUGGGAUCCUGUUGAUCUAUGACCUUGCCCCCAGCCCUGUGCUCUCUGGAACAUGUGCUGUGUCCACUCAGGGUUGGGUGGAUUGAGGGCGGUGCAGGAUGUGCUUUGUUGGGCAGAUGCUUGAGGGCAGCAUGCUCGUUGACAGUCAUCACCACUCCCUAGUCUCGGGUGCCCAGGGACACAGACACUGCGGAGAGCCGCAGGGUCCUCUGCCUGGGAAGACCAGAGACCUUUGUUCACUUGUUUGUCUGCUGACCUUCCCUUCACUGUUGUCCUAUGACCCUGCGGAAUCCCCCUUUGCGAGAAACACCCAAGAGUGAUCAAUGGAAAAAAAAAAAAAAACAAAGAAAAAAGGAACAGAAGCAAAUGUGGCAACAUCUUGAUAACUGUUGGAACUGGACGUUGG
rnacentral:lncRNA from 1 species